UGCCGACCGGGUGUCUGCACUAAGUUCAGCAUCAAUAUGGUGACCUCCUGGGAGCAGGGGACCACCAGGUUGCCUGAGGAUGGGUGAACUGGCCCAGGUCAGAAAGGGAGCGGGUCAGAACUCCCGCACCGAUGGCUAGUGGGACUGCACCUGGGCA
rnacentral:sRNA from 1 species